rnacentral:lncRNA from 1 species
GGGAGGUUUCCCUGAUCUGCAGGAAUCAGCGUGGACGGCAGAGCCUCCCUGACAGGAGAGGGAAUAGUUAUGGAAGGACCUGAGAUGAGUGGAGGCGAGUGUGGAGAGGCUAUGCAGGCCCAGACUCUGGGACCCCGUAGGCCAUGGGAAGAACUUCGAUCUUCAGUCCAGGAGCCCUGGGAACGGAAUAUUCUGAAAGAAUCCACCAAAUGUGCCUUAGAACAGGUUG